rnacentral:rRNA from 1 species
AUACGUAGGGAGCGAGCGUUAUCCGGAUUUACUGGGCGUAAAGGGCGUGUAGGCGGUCUUGCAAGUCAGAAGUGAAAUUCCUGAGCUCAACUCGGGCGCUGCUUCUGAAACUGCAGGACUUGAGUGCUGGAGGGGAUAGCGGAAUUCCUAGUGGAGCGGUAAAAUGCGCAGAUAUUAGGAGGAACACCGGCGGCGAAGGCGGCUUUCUGGACUGUAACUGACACUGAGGCACGAAAGCGUGGGGAGCAAACAGGAUUAGAUACCCUGGUAGUCCACGCCGUAAACGAUGAGCACUAGCUGUUGGGGCCGAAUGGUCUCAGUGGCGCAGUUAACGCAAUAAGUGCUCCGCCUGGGGAGUACGCGCGCAAGCGUAAAACUUAAAUGAAUUGGCGGGG